rnacentral:lncRNA from 1 species
AAGUGUCAAUUUUCGUACUUACCAGAAUAACCAUGAAACCACACACACGCCCCUCAAAAUGUUGAUAUAAGAAGAAAAUAAGAAGAUGACUGAGAUCAUAAAUAAGAAAUAUGCAACCAGAGAAACAAUUGAGUGUACUCAAAUUAAUUCCAGAAGGAGCAAAUAUUCUGGAAGAUUAUUAUUCAUCUUAGGCAUUCAUAAUGCCUCCAUCAAGAAAAAACUUCUGUUUGGGGUAUCUAGUCUUAAAAAUUAGAGCUUAUAAAUUUGCUUAGAAGUUUUAAAAUAAGUGAAAUCAAAAUUAGAAAUAGUUAAGAGUAUUUUACAUUAAGUUUUUUAAUUGUAAAGCAAAAAAAUGGUAACUUGCCCUGAAAGGGGGCCAAAGAACCCACACAAUAAGUUGCAAGAUACAAUCGAACUUAAUAACAGAAAUUAAACUUGCAGAAAAUAAAGAACACAACAAGAUUUUUCGGCCGAAACCCCAGAGGUUCAAUGACUAGCACCUAGUCCCCUGUUGAACAUCCAAUCGAAGUGGAUAUUGCUCGGUUGCACUAAAGUCCCAAAAACAGGCAAUCGAAGGUUAUAAAGUUCAAGCACUACAAGAAUACACAAGAAAGAGACUUAUCUCUUCGAAGGAACCACAGAUCUGCCUCAGACUCACAACGAACUAACAGACCACAUUCCUAACCUCAACACAUUAGGACUCUAUAUAUCACUCAAGAAAUAGAUCAGUAUUUAGUGGUUAAUAACCUUCCAAAACAUCGAAUGAGAUGAUCGAUUACAGAAAAUAGGGAAAACUAAAAACCCUAACUCGAGAGAGAACUAAAGAACACUCUCGAACCUCACUCAAGAGUUAGAUGAAUGAAAAGUCACACAGCCAAAUGAGCCGUCAAUCUCAUUUAUAUCACCAGCAUGUAAACCCUUCAUCCAAUGGUGGGAAUAAAGCCAGGUGUCAUCAUCAAGCAGGAUGCCAUUUAUAAAAGUGUAUUUCCAUAACACGUUUUUGGUGGCUGAAAAUAUGGAAGCACCAAUAACAUGGUUGGAGUCACAACAUGCCCAAUAUGUAGUAUAGUUUAAAACAAAAAAAAAAAUAAAUAAAAAUCCCAUGUUCUGAAGCUCAGCCAAACAUGCUAAAUCUUUCAAAUUUCCUUCAAAAAUGAGAAAAACUCAAACAAUGCAAAGCCCAAAUAUUGUUUUACUCACAUGCAUUGAAUACGCAGAUAAAAUCACAUAAUAAUGAUUUAUAAGAACAUAUAAGUAAUUUAAAUAUAAAAAUUGGUCACGUCUAAAAAAAAAAAAAAAUUGAAAAAUUAUGAGAGCAUACCAGUGCCGAGCUGAAGAAGGGCGAUUCUACGAGAUGGGUUUUCAGCAGAGGCAUUAAAAACCCUGGGUUUGUAAUUAUUAGUAUAAGAAGAAAAUGUACUGACAGAAAAACAAGGUUGAGCUGACGUCACUUUAAACGCCAUUGGAUACCACCUUCAUCUGCUGUAGUUAACGUCCGUCACUUCUUUCCAGUAUUCGUU